rnacentral:rRNA from 1 species
UACGAGGGGGGCAAAUGUUGUUCGGAAUCACUGGGCGUAAAGGGAGCGUAGGCGGGUGUUUAAGUUAGGUGUUUAAUCCUGGGGCCCAACCCCAGUCGUGCACCUAAAACUGGACAUCUUGAAUAGUGGAGAGGUCAGUGGAAUUGGGGAUGUAGCGGUGGAAUGCGUAGAGAUCCCCAAGAACACCAGUUGCGAAGGCGGCUGACUGGACACAUAUUGACGCUGAGGCUCGAAAGCAUGGGGAGCAAACAGG